rnacentral:rRNA from 1 species
UACGGAGGGUGCGAGCGUUGUCCGGAAUCACUGGGCGUAAAGGGCGCGUAGGUGGCGGGCCAAGUCCAUGGUGAAAGCUCGAUGCUCAACAUCGAGCCGGCCACGGAUACUGGUUCGCUCGAGCACUGUAGAGGCUAAUGGAAUUCCGGGUGUAGCGGUGGAAUGCGUAGAGAUCCGGAAGAACACCGGUGGCGAAGGCGGUUAGCUGGGCAGUUGCUGACACUGAGGCGCGACAGCGUGGGGAGCAAACAGG